UGCUGUAAAUGUAAAAUGAGUUGAUCAAUACAAGGAUUUGGGAAUUGCGAGGUGAAAGGAAAUGAUAUGGAAAUGGAGGUGUAUGAAUCUGAUUGAGAAGAACUGAAGCUAAGGAUGUUAUUGUUGAAAACUUGUUAGGAAUGAAGAUGUAAGUUAGAUGUAGCUUAUAGAAAUGUGUAUUGUUAGAAUGGUGUGUGUAACUGAAUUGUUUUUAGCAUAGAGUAUCUUUUCAUUUCA